CGAAUGUAUAACCCUGUUGCCUGCCUUGAUUAAAUAACCGCGCAGCCUGGAAAUUGCACUGAGCUUUUCGAAAGCCUGAAGCCCUGGGAGCUUUCCUACGCUUUGUUUGUCUCCAGCUAAAUGCAGGUGCAGCAGAACCACCGAAGCAUGGUUGGCCCUGGGAAACAUUCACACAACAGCUGCUCUGGUGUUAAACCUCUCGUGCCCUCUUUCCCCCUGACUUCUCUCCCCUGGGAGAACCAAACUGCUUGUGUGUUUUCACCAAGACCUACCCUCAGAGGCCUGGGCCCUGGCUCUGAACCAUGCUCUUCUCUUCUGACCAUGACUCACUGUUCUGCCUCUCACGUAACUCUGAAAUAAUGAAGUUUUCGCCACGUACAUGAUUUUACACCUAGAGACAAUGUCUUAGCACCUACAGGGUAAUCUGAAAAUGGCCCCCUCGUCUUCUCUCAUCGUAAGUAGCAGGGUGGCUUUAGAGCUGUUCACAUUUGUGGAGUUCUUGUUUGCCAUAGUUUGAAGGGUGCUAUGCUACAGUCAGCUUCCACACAUCCAAGGUGCUGCUGUUGCCUAAAGACCCUUCCAAGAUAGAGAAGCUCUGAUUAGCACAGGGAAGGACUUUCGGUUGCAGACCUGCUCCUUGGCACAGGGGGUCAUUUUUUCGGCAAACACUUAGUAAACACUUAGUGUUAUUCACUUAGUAUUCCUGUGUUCUGAUCAGUGGCUAGGCUCCCCUUCAGGGCAUCACAUCCUCAGCAAGCAGAUCAAACGGGUGAGCACACCAUCGGUAGCUUACACACAGGGAGCACGUGCAGCAUGCUUGGGACCCCAGAAGAGGGACUUAAGCCCCUCAGAAGCCUCCUCCCGAGAGAUGUCAUGGCCCCGCAGUGCCAUGGAAGCAGCCUUCCCUUCAGGGAAGCAGGAGGCAAGCACCGGGCAAUGGAUUCGCUGUCCUCUUUGAGAUACACAAGGUCACAUUUGGAUCUUGCACUGAUGUGAGUGUGCAGCCCUGGGAACCUGUAGAGCACUCGGGGAACACUGGCAGGGCAGGUACUGAAUCCAUCCCGGCCUGUCACAGGGAAUAACGUUGCCCUCUUUUGUUUCCCUGCCACUCUGAGCGGUGCAGGGUUGCCUCGGAAUUAUUUCAGCGAUGCGCUGCUUUGUUCCUUUGAGUACCCCAUACUUUAGGUGCCAAUUCACCUUUUCCUUUCAUAAAGAAGAGUCAGGAAAAAGAACAAGAGGCAUGGCUAGACAAUGGAAAAGCCAGCGCAUUGAAAAGGUCAUGGUACCCCAAUGUACUAUUUUCAUCUCGAAGUGUUUCAGGCAUUGUGAGUCCUUUUUGACAUUCCACUCUACCGACAAACACUGAAAGGGGGGCGGGGGAGAAGGACACGCAUUAUUUCAUCUGCUUGUGGAAUGUGAUGGCAAGAGUGGGGAAUGGGGCCCAGUGGAUCCGUUCUUUUUGUCUGGAGGUUUCACUUGGAGGUUUGUUUUGGAGUUAUCUUUCUGUGAGAAGCAUGGUGUUCUCGUGGCGGUACAGAAGAAACGAGGCGUCCCUCUAGGCGAGCUAACAUUUUUACCUUCUUUUGGCUUUCUUCUUUCUUUUACGAGUUCUCAUCUAGCAUUUGUCUGUGAGUGACUGACUUUCAGGAGACUUGCAGUUAGUAGCUAACAUUCUCCCAACGUUGUCACUGCGCGGAAUACUGCUGGCAGACGCCUGCUUACCUUGCCUCCUCUGUCUUGCCCUCACUCCUGUGGAAUCUGCAAAGUCAGCUGCUCCAUGGACGUGUAGGCGAUAGCCAUGACUGCCAGCUCUUACCGUAAAAGGUAGCCAAACGUUUGCUGAGAGAGCUCUGAAAAGAGGGAAACAGAAAAGUCAGUGGAUCCUUCCUUUUUUCCCGUGGGGAUCUUGGGAAUGAUAUCUAGAGACCCAGCAGUCGUGUUGUGACCAUGAAGCAAUGAGCUAACUUCCUAAGGAAGACAGAAUGGGAAGAGAAAAGGAUCCAGGGUCAUUGACGAUGUCAUGGAGUUCUACACCUGCCUACCCACCUGUGAGAAAUGGAAGAACUCCAGUCUGUGUAAGACGACUUAGGAAAGGGAUCCUUCAGGAGGAUUCUGUCAAAGCCAGCCAGAGCAGUCCCAUUCCAUGUGCUGGCGAUGAGCCUACGAUCGGGUAGAUGCACGACCUAGUCCUGGCCAAUAAGACUCGAGCGGAAGUCUUCUAGAGAAAACGAUCUCUUCUCUGGACCGUCAGAUCUGGCUGUCACUGGAGAUAGCUCUGGAGGGUGAGUGAAAAAAGGGAAGGAACCUCCAUCCUGGAUGACGUUCUUGAGUCACUCACUGGAUUAACCCUAAAGCAUCCCUAAUCUGGGGCUUCUUCUGCCAAACACUACAUUUUAUUACAGUUUAAGAAAAACUGAGUCAGCUGAAGGCAUGCUAUCCGACCAUAAUGUUUCCUGAAGCACAGCACGUGGGCUGCCCUCCAGGACCACCCAGCCUCGGACCACAUGGGGAAGGUUCUUUCAGGUGGACCAGCAGUAUCCCUGUAGGCUGCUUUUUCCAGGUGGUCUGAACUCUUACAGCACUGCUCUCCGUAAUACCCACGGCCUUACCCUCAGCUGGGGAAAUCCAGCAAAGACCAUUGAACGCUUGCACCUAAUUCAUGUAAAGCAGAAUUUCUUAAGAAAGAACAGUGAGAGCUGUUAACCCACAGAGCAUGGCGUGUCGUGCACCAGACAAAUGAUCUCUGCAAGAAUUACCAGAGCUUUGAUGUUUUCCUUUUUGGAAAGCAAAAUUGAAUACAAUAAUAGGAGUGUGGUCCCGAGGACUAGCUGCCAGGAUUAAAAGCCAACCUCUCUCAUUGACCAGAUGUACGACAUCGAACAACUUCGAGUACUUUUCUGUGCCUCAGUUUCCCCACCUGUAAAAUGGGCAUAACACAGUACUUUCAAAGUGAUAAUGGGACCUCCCAGGACUGUCGUGAGGAACCAGUCCCUUUUUAUCAUGUAGUAGGUGCAUUGUAGUUGUUGGCUGUUGUAUUGUUCACAGACUGGAUUGCAAACCUCUUUCUUCCCUAUUUCCUUGAGUAAGGAUUAGCCUUGCAUUCAUUAAACUCUGAAUUAAUGCUCCUUGAAUGUAGGUCUUUCAUGGUUCUAUAUGAAAAAAAUUUUUUGAGAGAGAUUUUUGCUAUAG